rnacentral:rRNA from 1 species
GACGGAGGAUGCAAGCGUUAUCCGGAAUGAUUGGGCGUAAAGCGUCCGCAGGUGGCAGUUCAAGUCUGCUGUCAAAGACCGGGGCUUAACUUCGGAAAGGCAGUGGAAACUGAACAGCUAGAGUAUGGUAGGGGCAGAGGGAAUUCCUGGUGUAGCGGUGAAAUGCGUAGAGAUCAGGAAGAACAUCGGUGGCGAAGGCGCUCUGCUGGACCACAACUGACACUCAGGGACGAAAGCUAGGGGAGCGAAUGGG